UACGUAGGGGGCUAGCGUUGUCCGGAUUUAUUGGGCGUAAAGAGCGUGUAGGCGGCCAGGUAGGUCUGCUGUGAAAACUCGAGGCUCAACCUCGAGACGUCGGCGGAAACCAUCUGGCUAGAGUCCGGAAGAGGAGAAUGGAAUUCCCGGUGUAGCGGUGAAAUGCGCAGAUAUCGGGAAGAACACCCGUGGCGAAGGCGGUUCUCUGGGACGGUACUGACGCUGAUGCGCGAAAGCCAGGGGAGCAAACGGG
rnacentral:rRNA from 1 species